GUAGGGAAUAUUGGGCAAUGGAGGCAGCUCUGACCCAGCCAUGCCGCGUGCAGGAUGACGGCCCUCUGGGUUGUAAACUGCUUUUAUACGGGAAGAAAAAAUACUACGUGUAGUAUACUGACGGUACCGUAAGAAUAAGGAUCGGCUAACUCCGUGCCAGCAGCCGCGGUAAUACGGAGGAUCCAAGCGUUGUCCGGAUUUAUUGGGUUUAAAGGGUGCGUAGGCGGAUUUUUAAGUCAGUGGUGAAAGCCUGCAGCUUAACUGUAGAAUUGCCAUUGAAACUGAAGAUCUUGAAUGUGGUUAAAGUAGGCGGAAUGUAUCAUGUAGCGGUGAAAUGCUUAGAUAUGAUACAGAACACCGAUAGCGAAGGCAGCUUGCUGAACCAUUAUUGACGCUGAGGCACGAAAGCGUGGGGAGCGAACAGGAUUAGAAACCCUAGUAGUCC
rnacentral:rRNA from 1 species